GGCACGAUGCCCGAGUUGGUCUAAGGGGACGCACUCAAGCGCUUAAGCUUGCUCAUCUCGGGUUCAUUUGCGUUCAGCGUUUGCUGGCAGGAGUUCGAAUCUCCUUCGUGUCA